CCGAGAACUGUGUGGCCUGAAUGUGUUUACAAAUCCGAGGGACUUGUGUGUAUCCGAUCCGAGGGACUUGUUGCUUGAGUGUGUAUCCGGACUUGUUGCUUGAGUGUGUAUUAAUGGAUAGUGCUUUCAAUGGUUUAACUAAUUUCUUAUGAGAUUAACUUGUCGCCUGAGUGUGUAUCCGAUCCGAGCCUCAAGUUAAUGAAUAAAUCUCCAGAGCUGAUGUUUUACUUAGCUGUCUCUGUCUACAGUAUAUACAGAGAGGUAGCCUCUUCUUUUUCUUUUUUCUGUCAAUAACUGUUUUAACGUUCAAUGAGAUAAAAUACGGUAAAUAAUAAAUUAAUUGUCCA